rnacentral:tRNA from 1 species
GCCUGGCUGGUUCAGCGGGUAGAGUAUGAGACUCUUGAUCUCAGGGUUGUGAGUUCGAGCCCCAUGCUGGGUG